rnacentral:lncRNA from 1 species
ACGAGAGAUGGGGGGAUUCUCGCUGGGAAAAGCCCUGGGCUUGUGGUCACCCGUGCACUUGGGUCUUGAUGCUGCUGAUGAUCUGCGUCCUGACAGCGACCUCUCAUUUCCCUGGACUUUGGAUUCUGUAUCUGAUGAGACACCUGCCCAGCUCGCGGUCAGUGAUCAUUAAAGGAGGGUGGAAAGAGCAGAGCUUGGAAUCUGAAAUGAAGUAGACAAUCAGGGAGGAAAGGUUGCUUUUAAAACGCUGGCAUGUCUCUAGUAGCGUUUCUACUCUCCUGUAAAAUGACAGAUGGUUCCAGCGUCUAAAGAUGUCAAGUUAGAAAAAGUGCUCAUCCUCCCUAUUAGCUGGCAAUUCUUUCUUAGGUGGAAUCUCAAUGAGAUGAGCUGGGAAUCCCAUCAUAUAUAAUUCAAAUGUGUUAGAACACUUUAGCUCUAAAAUUAUCCUUAUGAGAGGAAAAAGAAGAAAGACCUGUCUGCCAGGCCCUUAAAAAAAUCAGCUAAACCAAAAGCCAGUCCUCCUCAUCCACGUGUUUUAUACCUGGAACAGAUCAGACCAGAGGGACACCUCCCACUGUGGAUGGUGGGCCCAGUGAGCACAAAGUUUUAGAUCAUACAGACGAUUCAAUAGGUUAUAAAUAGGACAAGGACACUUUGCAAGCACCCAGCACUUUUUUGAAAUGCAACCAAGAACCCCAAAAUGAAGGGAGAAAUGCUACCCCAGAAGACACACAUUAACCAGCAUUUUGAUAUGACUUUGACCCAGCACCCAAGACUGACAUGAAGACCAG